CUAUUGAUUUCAUGAAUAUUAGUAUUCUUUUCAAAAGUAUAAAAACAUCUAUCAAGGCUGUACCUCUAUUGUUUCUUCCUCUAUGGUUUCCUUGUUGUGCAUUCUCCUGUGGAUGAUCCCACUAUUUCACCACUGACAGUCCAAUCAGCUCCUUUGUUGCUACAUGUUCCUGCCACUCCCUCUCUAAUUACGCGCGUCCAGAGUGCGAUUCCAAAAAGAACUUUUUUUUUGGUCUUCCUGAAUUGGGAAUUCCGUUAUUUUGAGGUUUCUGAUUUGUGAAUCAGCGUCUCUCUUACACCCAUUCUCGGCAACAUGGCUUCCAAGGACGAUUAUGCAGCUUAUGAAUCACUGUCGAAGAUUAAGGAUGGCUUACAUGGCCAAGGGCCUGGUAAUGAACCAAAGGUUGCGGGCAGCUCCGUUGGUGAACAGCUUGAAGAUGAGGACAACAAAAAAGAAAUUAAUUGCAACAUGGAGGAUGAGUAUCACUUAUUGGAAGAUAUUGACCCCUUGGCGUGGCAUUAUGAUUCGGAAAACGAGGACCAUGUGAAAUUGUUAGAAGAUUUCAUAUGCCAGUACAAAGAAAGCGAUGGUUUUGAUUUCAUCCCUUUACCUGGGCGGCCCAUAUUAUCUGGUAUUGCUUAUCCUGUCUAUCUGGAUCUUGAUACUGUCUACUCUAAUGGUUGCAGAGAAGCCCUUAAAUAUGCUAUCGAGAAGGAGAAUGAAAAGGGUUCAAAUCUUAUCUUUGAGAGAAUUGACCAUGCAAAUAUGCAUCCGCCUGGUUUGUUUUUCAUAACCUUUGAGGCUCGAAAUGUGACUACGGAUGAAGUCAAAACUUAUCAAACUAGGGUAUUUCGCUGUCCAUUUACCCCUUCUGACAUUGAAGUUGAGCUUUUCAGACUUAAAAUCCAACCAGAUGACAAAUAAAGGCAUGAGAGCUGCAGGAAUUAGUUAACAGGCUAUGGAAGGACUGUUGAUUAUUCUUUUUGUAAGCAAGUAUUGUCAAGAAUUCUUGCAGCUUUCCAUUGAUAAUAUUGAUUUUGUAGUUAGUCUGAGUUUCCUAAAUGGAUUUCUUCUUGUUUUUCUUUAUUAUGGUGUGGUAUGUAGUGAAUAUACUUGAAUUGUUAAGCUCUAUAUUCAAUUCCUAAUGGUAAAACCCAUUUUAAGACCUUGGAACUUUGGGAUUUUUUUUUUUUACUGUGCCCUUAUAAUGCUGGGGUACAUGGUUUUUCAUUUUUUAAGCAACUGGAAGUCCUAAAGGCAAUUUCCUAUUAAAUCUUCCUUGUCUACCUAGACAGACACGCACGAGUGACUAAUUGAUUUCAGUUGAUGAUGUAGAAAUGGAGUGCUAAUGGCAUUUGUUUUGUAGAAAUUAGUCUAAUGCUCUUCACUCUUUAUCUGGUCUGUUGCCCUUGAUUGAUAUUUAAAACUUUCGACACUUUUGACACUACAUGCACGAUUGAUAUUUGCUUUACUGUGCUUUUCUUAUCUGAACUAAAUAGCAAUCUUGGAUUUAUUCGGAAUGCUCUGUUACUGCAAAAACACAUUGCUUGACUAAUUGGAUUUUUCGCCACAGCAAUUGCUGAUUUGCUGUAGCAAUUAAUUUGAGUUGACUCUGGUUGCUCUUGUCCCAAGUCUUUUUAAAAAUUUUUCUCAACCAAAUAACUUGAUUAACUGUGUUGGUAGCUGCAAUGUAGUCAGCUUCUGCACUGGAUUUCGUAAUAGUUUCUUGUUUCUUUGAGUUCCUGAAAAAAUUCUUGAACUGAAUUUUAGCAUAUAUCCAGUAUUUUUGGAAUCAUCAAUUGAUCCAGCCCAAUCACUAUUUGUUCAGGCUUCAAGAUAUACUUCAUCUACUGUUUUGCUGCUAUACCAGAUGUCAUAAUCUUUAGUGCCUUUACUAUACCUCAAUACUCUUUUCCCUACUCCAAAAUGAAUUUGACUUGCUCAUAAAUCUAGAAAGUAGGCUUGUAGGGUACAUUAAAGCUGGUCGAGUAAUAGUUAAGUAUAAUAAACUCCCAAUAAGGCUUCUGUAGAGUUUGCCUUCUACUUGAGCAGUCCCAUCAUCGUUUGAUAAUUUUUUAUUCAGCAUAAGUGGUGUAUUGACUGGUUUGCAAUUUUCCAUGUGAAAUUUCUUGAGCGAAUUUCCUUUGACAAAUGAAGAUUCCAUUUCUCUCUUGCCUUGUAUCCAUUCCUAGGGAAGGAGACCAAUCCUAGGUCUGUCAUUUCAAACUCCUCCUCCAUCUGGAUUCUGAACUUUUCAAUCAUAUCUGAAUUGCUACCUGUCACAAGUAAAUCAUCAAAAUAAAGUGAGAUUAUCGAAACUUUCUCUCCAGCUACCUAAACACAUAAUGUAGCUUCACUGACUUUUUCUAAAAUCUUGCUGCAAGAGAUAAUCAUCUAUUCUACCAUACCAGGAUCUUGGUGCUUGUUUUAAGACCAUUGAGUGCUUUUUCGCAACUUGUAAACUUUCUCAUCAUGUCCUGGGAUUAUAAAGCACUGUGGUUGAUCUCCGUAAACAUCUUGUGGAAAACCAUUUGAAAAUGCAGACUUGAAUAUUGUAUUCAUAAUAAGCAAUAAUUAAAUACUGUAUUAUAUAUAAUUUUGUUGCGAGUCUUAUUAAUAAUUUAGUAUUCUUGAAUCAAGUGUUGUUAGUAUUCUUAUUUUGUAAGUAAUAUAUUUGAUAGAUUUUAAUGUGUUGGCCAUUUGUUGAUGGGCAUGAGAGCUGCAGGAAUUAGUUAACAGGCUAUGGGAGCACUGUUGAUUAUUCUUUUUGUAAGCAUGUAUUGCCAAGAAUUCUUGCAGCUUUCCAUUGAUAAUAUUGAUUUUGUAGUUCGUCUGAGUUUCCUAAAUGGAUUUCUUCUUGUUUUUCUUUAUCAUGGUAUGGUACGUAGUGAAUAUACUUGAAUUGUUAGGCUCUAUAUUCAAUUCCCAAUGGUAAAACCCAUUUUAAGACCUUUGAACUUUGGAAGUUUUUUUAACUGAGCCCUUAUAAUGCUGGGGUACAUGGUUUUUCAUUUUCUAAGCAACUGGAAGUCCAAAAAGCAAUUUGCUGUUAAAUCUUUCCUUGUCUACAUAGACAGACACACACGAGUGACUAAUUGAUUUCAGUUGAUGAUGUAGAAAUGGAGUGCUAAUGGCAUUUGUUUUGUAGAAAUUGCUCUAAUGCUCUUCACUCUAUCUGGUCUGUUGCCCUUGAUUGAUAUUUGAAACUUUCCACACCACAUACAUGAUUGAUAUUUGCUUUACUGUGCUUUUCUUAUUUGAACUAAAUAGCAAUCUAGGAUUUAUUCAGAAUGCUCUGUUACUGCAAAAACACAUUGCCUGCACACAUAAUGGAAAAUAAAUCUAAACUUGCCAGUCUUAUUGAUUAUUUUUCGCUGUCACUGUUCUGCACACAGUAAUUAUUGAUUUGCUUCUCUUGCAAACCAAAUAGCAAAGAAAAUUGUAUUGGUUUGUUAAAAUUAGAAUUAAAUGCCACUGUCAGUGACUCCAUGAAGUUUGUUUUACAUCUUCCGGUUGUGGUUGCACGCACCCAUUAUUGAAUAAAUGAGGUUUUGUGAUUUAUUGAAUCAAAAGUUUGCUUCACAUCGUGCAGUUGUAGUUGCACGCCCAUAUUCUGCUGUAUUCUAAUUUCAAUUACAUAGGUGCAAGGUCUGGAAGCAACUUCAUUUUUUUCCUUCAACUGAAAACUUGGAACGUAAUUUUAUUUUUUAUUCAACUGAAAACUUUGAACAUAUCACUAACUUGCAAUGCAGAGCAUGGGUGAAAUGGAACCUCCUGACAUGAUUUAGCCAAGUACUAUUAUCUGAAGAAAUUGUUGAUUCAUCAACAUUUGGCAUUAUAGGCGAAGGCUUUGUUUAAUGGCAGAUUUGAAUUUCGCAUAAUGAAAAUUUUAAUGGCAUGUGUUUAAGAAGUUUAUGUUUUCAUAUUACUUUUAGUUGUUUGUAUAACACUUUAUAGAGUUAAAUCAACUUUGGGACAUCUAGUUUGAAAUGAGAGACUUAUUUAUGAUAAUUUUUUUCUCACUUAA